UACGUAGGGUCCGAGCGUUAAUCGGAAUUACUGGGCGUAAAGCGUGCGCAGGCGGUUUUGUAAGCCAGAUGUGAAAUCCCCCGGGCUUAACCUGGGAAUGGCAUUUGGGACUGCAAGGCUUGAGUGCGGCAGAGGGGGGUGGAAUUCCACGUGUAGCAGUGAAAUGCGUAGAGAUGUGGAGGAACACCGAUGGCGAAGGCAGCCCCCUGGGUCGACACUGACGCUCAUGCACGAAAGCGUGGGGAGCAAACAGG
rnacentral:rRNA from 1 species